rnacentral:misc_RNA from 1 species
UGUAACCUGAAAUCGGAGAGUUGUGGUUGUGGAUAUAAUUGCAGGUUCCAGUUCAAUUUGGGCCGUUGGGCAGCUCCACGGGCAUGUGAGGAACGGCUUAUUCCUUCCACAUCUGUAACCAUAGCUACUAGAUACUGUUUGUUAGUUUUCUUUUUUCUUUCUUCCAUUUUGAUCGAAGAGAUUGGAGCUGGGCAUUUUCAGAGCCUAGACAGUAUGGGCUAUCUGAAUUCAGUCUUGUCUUGCUCGAGCCAGAUUCAUGCUGCUGAGGAGGCACCUGUAAGCGG